UACGGAGGGUGCAAGCGUUAUCCGGAUUCACUGGGUUUAAAGGGUGCGUAGGCGGGCAGGUAAGUCAGUGGUGAAAUCUUUGGGCUUAACCCGAAAACUGCCAUUGAUACUAUCUGUCUUGAAUAUUGUGGAGGUUUGCGGAAUAUGUCAUGUAGCGGUGAAAUGCUUAGAUAUCUGGAGGAACACCGGUGGCGAAGGCGGCAUCCUGGACCAACACUGACGCUGAGUGAGCGAAAGCCAGGGGAGCAAACGGG
rnacentral:rRNA from 1 species